CUCCCCCACUACUCGCUGGCUUGGUGGGCUGUCAGUGAUGGGUCUCUGCCCUUCCCUUGUCAGAGGAUGGCAUCAAGUCCCAACAGGACACUGGAAUAAUAUUUUAGUGGGAAACAGGAGGACAGAAAACUCGUGGGGCUCAUUCAUUCUGGGGCAGCAUCCUGAGUUGGCUUUCUAUUACAGCAUCCACUGAGGAAAGGCCAUGUGAGGACGUGGCAAAAAGGUGGCUGUCUGCAGGCCAGGAAGAGAAUCUCAGUGGAAACCGAAUCAGUUGGCACCUUCAACUUAGACUUUUCAGCCUCCAGAACUAUCAAGAGGAACCACAUCCAAGGAGCCACAUCUAAAGAGCCUCAUCUACAACUAGACUCAUUUAGAUGAUGAGGUCCCGUACUUUGAGCUGACACCGUAACGUGGAACUUCUCACCUCAGCCAUCUCCACUCCUGUCUACUCAGGUCUGCCCUUCAACUUCUCCCCACCCCAUCUCAGCCCAGGAAAUGACGACUCCAAAUUCAAGGCACUCACUGGACAUGUACCUGAUGAGAGCCCACCAUGGAUGAGAAACCGGGCGAGAUCAGUGAGGAGGAAAAGCUGGAAGUAAAUAGUCAGUACUUCUGAUGACUGUCCGAGUAGGCAAUGCCUGUUUCCACAAUGGAUUGUAAGCCACAUGAGGGCAGGACAGAGUCUGACUUGUCUACUCACAUACUCCUCGUUGUGUCUAGUGCCAAAGUAGCAUGGUGCCUACCACAGAGGAAUAAUUCAAUCAUUUUUUUUCCCAGUGUAUAAAUAAAUGAAUAAAUAGGGGCGCC